AAAGUGUCCAGGAAAUUUGAGAAGAUGCAAGCAAAGCAUCGUGGUGAAAAGGGUAUAUCUUUUUCCACCUCUUUACUCUGAGUCUUGAGACCCAUUAGGUAGGUUUCUUGAAGACAACAAAGAAUUACAUCAUGUCUUUUAAUGUUGUUUGCCA
rnacentral:lncRNA from 13 species